CGUACGAGGCGGCGAGGCAGCGGCGCUGGGCCGGGUGCGCCUGCCCCGGGCACGCCGGGCAGGUGUCGGGGCGCCGGACCCCGUCCCGCCGAGGUCUGUCAGUUGUAUGAUCCUUGAGCAUUCCCUCUUGUGCUGCUCCCCACCGGUGUGUCUGGCCCUGCUGAGGCUUCUGUGGUUGUAAUAAAGUGCAGUGGCUUCACUUCGGGUACAAUCCUUUGACAGGGAAGAGAGUCAUGCCCCAAGCAAAAUCUGACUGCUGAGGAAGCAGCGUUUCCAGCUGUCAUUUAUAAUUCUUUAAUGACAUACAUGCCUUGAAUAAACCAUACAUUUCAAAAUGGUUUGUAGAAGGAAAAAAGCCUUUCAUGCUUUUGCACUGUACUUUUUGUAAUGACUUUUAUCAGCCUAUGACUGAAAAUUUGUCUCCAUUUUGGAACUUUCUGUAAUGGAUUGAGACAAAAUCUAAUUUUGUACUUCGCAUACUCCGUGGGCCAAACAGAUCCUUCAUUUAAUUCCAUUAAGCGGGUUUUGCAGAGAAAGGAGUAAUUUACAGGAAGCACUUGGCCCCAAACCCCCUUCAAAGUGACUGGCAGAUUAGCAAUGGCACAGGCACAUGGAAAUGGGUGCAGCCUCCUUCAUAUGGGUGGAAGAUGAAACCUCGAGCGGCAGGAUGUUUUCUGGCGCAAAGGGAUGUUACCCAGCAGUGCUGCUGCCCUCCGAGCUUGCUCAGGUGCUCACCCACCGCUGCCUUUGCGUGUCACCCGGAGGACGCCGCCUGCGCUGAUGCAGACACUGAUUGUGCUGCUCCACAGCCCUGACAGCGCUCACUAACCUGGAUUUGAUGUGGCAUGACAAGACACCAACUUCUGCUCUGGCAGUGAGACUGUUCACGUGCGGUGCAGUCUGACAGAGUCUCCCAGGACGUUUGAGUCGUGUCCGUGCGUAAUGGCCUUGUGCAGUUAAGUGGAGCACGCUGUCUGAGAUGAAAGUCAAAUUUCAGAGCAGGCUUGCUUUCCUCCCCUCCCUCUCCCUCCACCAGUGCCGCUUUCACCACCGCAACGGGAUGUCUUCCUGUUUCCCCGUCGCUCCCCAAAACACACAAGCCCUCCUUCCUGCAUGGUGUAACUAAUCUGGUUUGCUGACUGAGAUCUGCUGGGGCCUUUAAAGUGAUGCCAGCUACUACGUACUCAGUGUAGCAUGGCAGCAUUUCAGAGUGAAACUAAAAAUCCAAAUCCAAUAAGCAAGGAAAUAACCAUAAAGAAGCAGCCCUGGUUUCCAUUCUGUCCAUCAGCUUGCUGCCUGGUGGGGCAGCUUUGCACUAAAAGUUGGCCAUGGACCAUAUGUUAGAAGUAUGAAGACCUCUUUUUUCCCUCUUUAAGCUCAAAUCUAUGAAGAGAUGCAUUUUUUAAAAUCCUAUAGGAAAAUCACAUUAUUUUCAGGGAUGAGCUUUCAGGCAGUUUGGGUUCUUUUUUCUCUCUGUUGGGAUUAGCAAACAGCAGCAAAACUCACCCUUCUCUUCCUAAAUCCCCAUUCAAAAUGGAGGGGAGGUUACUCAAGCUCAGGUUUUGUUCUUUUGAGAUUUAACUGAAAGAGAGUUUCAGUGAGGAGGUUGUGAUCCUGUAAGGUGCUGGCUUUCAUGAAAAUUAGCAGAACAAUUUUGUGAAAAAUAUUUGCAUUUCAAGUGAAUGCAGAUUAGUAAGACUUUUAUGGUGAAAAAGACUUUCAUGGUUUUGUGAAGAAAACAGGUUAAAUGAUUUCUUGUUUGUUUAGUUUGUGGAGAGAAGAUGACUUUUCAAAAAAGCCUAAAGAACUCUCAAAACACAGCUACUGAACAUCAUGUAGGGGAACAGGAUAUGACAAAAACCCAAAGUAAUGGGGGAGGCCAUCCAUAGUGCCAGAAUGGGUCCUGGAAGUAGGGAGAUGCUUGCUUUUGGAGAAGAAUGGAGCGGGUGCUGGAAGCUCCAUGGCUCUCUAAAAUGGCAGAGCGAUGCUCUCUUCUGCCAGAGCGUUCCAAGAGAAAACGGUUCUUACAUGGUUUCAUCAGGCCAAUUUUAACUUUUAUUUUAUUUCUAUUGUACAAAACAAAUAAAGAAAUUUGCCAGUGUAAGGAGGAUUAAGAGGGGAUAAUCCAUUUUUGUGACUCAUUCCGAUAAGAAAUCUCCCUGUAGCCUUCCAUCUGAAGACAGUUGCUGACAGAUUGUACAAAAUAUGUCCCUGCAUUUUUAGGACCCUGAGACAGCAUCUUGCAAGCAGAUAAAACCAAAUAAAACCUGACAAACCAUCUUUGUACUGGAGAGAUGAGAAGAAAAUGCAGAUAGUUUCUGCUAGAGGAUUUGAAAAUGAAGCUAUGAGGAAGGGAAUUUAGUUUUAACUUAAACUCCUUAAAUGUUCUCUUGAACAUGAAGUAUCUCAGUUAAUUAAAAGUUAUUGCAUAACUGCUGCUAGGGAGUGAAAAGUUUAUUUUUAAUUAUACUGCCUUACAUAAUUGUUACAUGAUGACAGAGGCAGCAUGAUGAAGUGAAAGAGAUUUAACUAUACUUUUUUAAUACAGUGAAAUUAAAAAGUGAGGUGUUGAUGCAUUAAUUCCUCCUUGACUAGUACCUGGAUCUGUUUCAUGAUCUCUGCUUCAGCACUUGGUUUUUAAGGACAGUAUCUAUUUGUUCUGUACUUGUACAGCCCACGGCUGUGAUGACAACUUCUUGAGUGUGGUAUUCAUCAAGAUAAUAAAUAAUCUUGUCCACUUUCAGCUUCUCCUUUGAUCUUGGAAUGUUUUGGCCAGCAGACUGGUACACAUGCAUUUGUAACUAAUACGCCAACAAAUCACAUCUAUAAUUUAUCGUAAUCAUGGAAAACCUAUUUCAGCUGGAUGAUUUCCUAAGUAAUUUAUUUAACUGUGGUUGUGGAACUGUAUUUUCUGCCUUGAUAUGAAGAACUGUUGGCUUUAAAAGCUGAGCAUGCAACAGGACAGUUAAGUAUGUUGUUUUUAACCAGAGAGAGCAUCUACAGAAAUGUUGCUAGCACAGAAAGGGAAAGUGAGAUGAAGAGGAACUGAAUAUUUGCGUGUAAA